rnacentral:rRNA from 1 species
UGGAUCCAGACUUUGAUCCUGGCUCAGGACGAACGCUGGCGGCGUGCUUAACACAUGCAAGUCGAACGAGAAGAGAUGAGAAGCUUGCUUCUUAUCGAUUCGAGUGGCAAACGGGUGAGUAACGCGUAAGCAACCUGCCCUCUAGAUGGGGACAACAGCUGGAAACGGCUGCUAAUACCGAAUACGUUCUUUCUGUCGCAUGGCAGAGGGAAGAAAGGGAGGCUCUUCGGAGCUUUCGCUGGAGGAGGGGCUUGCGUCUGAUUAGCUAGUUGGAGGGGUAACGGCCCACCAAGGCGACGAUCAGUAGCCGGUCUGAGAGGAUGAACGGCCACAUUGGGACUGAGACACGGCCCAGACUCCUACGGGAGGCAGCAGUGGGGAAUCUUCCGCAAUGGACGAAAGUCUGACGGAGCAACGCCGCGUGAACGAUGACGGCCUUCGGGUUGUAAAGUUCUGUUAUACGGGACGAAU